CAGGUCAAAGUCAUCUGCUUAACAACCUUUAACACGAGGGCCAUUUCCAGUUAGUUUGCUGCGUAAAAAGCGUCACCUGGAAGGUUUUCACCUGGCGGAGAGGCAGAGAAGCACUCUCAUGGCUGAAGACCUGCGAGAAAAUUCAUUCCAGCGCGCCGCCGUGGGAACGCCUCUCUCUUCCACAUUAAAACCAAAUGACCUUCAUGUCCUUCAUGUGCGUUUGUAACAAUAGCAUCAAAUCUCAGAACAAUAGCAAUCUCCACACCUAAGAAAAAAGGCUGGAAACAAGGACGCCAGGCAGACUAAGCAGAAAUCAAAGUGGAUGGAAAAAACCGGAUUCUUACUGCAUCGUUGCCGCUGGGGUUGUUUGUUGCGGUCCGUUGGUUGUAUGUUUCUGGUUUUGAUUAAAGUGCAAAACCUGAACAAUCAUACAUGGCAGCUUUGUCCCAGCCCCACGGAGAACACCUGUCAGCGCCUGAGUUUCUCCAGCAGUCACC